rnacentral:rRNA from 1 species
UUUUGCUUGCAAACCAAAGCUGGCGACCGGCGCACGGGUGAGUAACACGUAUCCAACCCGCCGAUAACUCGGGGAUAGCCUUUCGAAAGAAAGAUUAAUACCCGACGGUAUAAUAAAACCGCAUGGUUUAAUUAUUAAAGAAUUUCGGUUAUCGAUGGGGAUGCGUUCCAUUAGGCAGUUGGUGAGGUAACGGCUCACCAAACCUUCGAUGGAUAGGGGUUCUGAGAGGAAGGUCCCCCACAUUGGAACUGAGACACGGUCCAA